CCUACGGGAGGCAGCAGUAGGGAAUAUUGCUCAAUGGGGGAAACCCUGAAGCAGCAACGCCGCGUGAAGGAUGAAGGUUUUCGGAUUGUAAACUCCUUUUGAUAGAGAAGAUAAUGACGGUAUCUAACGAAUAAGCACCGGCUAACUCCGUGCCAGCAGCCGCGGUAAUACGGAGGGUGCAAGCGUUACUCGGAAUCACUGGGCGUAAAGAGAGCGUAGGCGGGAUAGCAAGUCAGAUGUGAAAUCCUAUGGCUCAACCAUAGAACUGCAUUUGAAACUGUUAGUCUAGAGUAUGGGAGAGGUAGGUGGAAUUCUUGGUGUAGGGGUAAAAUCCGUAGAGAUCAAGAGGAAUACUCAUUGCGAAGGCGACCUGCUAGAACAUAACUGACGCUGAUGCGCGAAAGCGUGGGGAGCAAACAGGAUUAGAUACCCUUGUAGUC
rnacentral:rRNA from 1 species